rnacentral:pre_miRNA from 1 species
CGUGUCAGAAGUGCAUUUACAUAGGUAUUUCCCGUUUAGCAGUAUUUGUAAAUGCACUAUCUGGUACGAC